GAGUGGCGGACGGGUGAGUAACGCGUGGGUAACCUGCCUCAUACAGGGGGAUAACAGUUGGAAACGGCUGCUAAUACCGCAUAAGCGCACAGUACCGCAUGGUACGGUGUGAAAAACUCCGGUGGUAUGAGAUGGACCCGCGUCUGAUUAGGUAGUUGGUGGGGUAACGGCCUACCAAGCCGACGAUCAGUAGCCGACCUGAGAGGGUGACCGGCCACAUUGGGACUGAGACACGGCCCAA
rnacentral:rRNA from 1 species